rnacentral:rRNA from 1 species
CAGUAGCCGCGGUAAUACGUAGGUGGCAAGCGUUGUCCGGAAUUAUUGGGCGUAAAGCGCGCGCAGGCGGAUAGGACAGUCUGUCUUAAAAGUUCGGGGCUUAACCCCGUGAUGGGAUGGAAACUGCCAAUCUAGAGUAUCGGAGGGGAAAGUGGAAUUCCUAGUGUAGCGGUGAAAUGCGUAGAUAUUAGGAAGAACACCAGUGGCGAAGGCGACUUUCUGGACGAAAACUGACGCUGAGGCGCGAAAGCCAGGGGAGCGAACGGGAUUAGAUACCCCCGUAGUCCCUGUCUCUUAUACC